CAACCGCACUGUUGCCAGAUUUACUUAUUUUCUUUUAGCGGGAAUUUUAAAAUAUCUAAUGUCAGUUGGUUUAAAAUUUGACAGUUGUGUUUUCUUGACUCCGAAUCUUAACCUUACUUUACAGGUGAUUUGAUUAUGUACAAAAAAUGUACAAUGUAAAUAAAUUGAACCAAGUAAUGUACUAUGAUAUGUUAUAAUUUAAAACUCGUUAUGUUACAGUCUUUUGAAAAAAAUUAAACUCAAACGAGAUAUACUUGUUUACAGUGCAAAUUAAUGGCAAUAAUAGGGAUUUACGAUUUAAUUUGCAGGAAAAACAUGGGCAACCUACCCAGUUGGUAAAAUUUCAAUUCAAAAAAUUGUUAGAUUUUACUGUGUGGAUGUCACAGGAAGAGAAACAAAAUAAUAUUCAGUCACAGGAGUACAAGAACAUGAAACAUCUUAUUAUGUAUGUAUGCCAUUCUCAAACAAUUAUUGUACAAAACAAGAUAGAGAAAGAGCUUUAAAAUCCCAAGGAUCCUGCGAAAAGAAAAGUGAAAA